rnacentral:rRNA from 1 species
AGCGAACGCUGGCGGCGUGCUUAACACAUGCAAGUCGCGCGCGAAAGGGAGCUUCGGUUUCUGAGUAGAGCGGCGAACGGGUGCGUAAGACGCGGGUGACCUAUCCUUGAGGCGGGGAUACCCUUGAAGAGGGCUAAUACCGGAUGAGCCCACAGGCAGAGAUGCCAGGGGCGAAAGGUAGCGGUUAAUAGGCGCAUGUCUUCAGGGAGGGGCCCGUGGCCUAUCAGCUAGUUGGUGUGGUAACGGCGCACCAAGGCGAAGACGGGUAGCUGGUCUGAGAGGAUGGCCAGCCACACGGGGACUGAGACAC